rnacentral:rRNA from 1 species
GACGAACGCUGGCGGCAUGCCUAAUACAUGCAAGUCGAGCGAACAGAUGAAGUGCUUGCACUUCUGACGUUAGCGGCGAACGGGUGAGUAACACGUAAGGAAUCUACCUAUAAGCGGGGGAUAACAUUCGGAAACGGGUGCUAAUACCGCAUAAUAUCUUCUUCCGCAUGGAAGAAGAUUGAAAGACGGCUCUGCUGUCACUUAUAGAUGACCUUGCGGUGCAUUGGUUAGUUGGUGGGGUAAUGGCCUACCAAGACGAUGAUCCCUAGCCGACCUGAGAGGGUGAUCGGCGACAUUGGGACUGGGACACGGCGCAAACUCCUACGGGAGGCAGCAGUAGGGAAUCUUCCGCAAUGGGCGAAAGCCUGACGGAGCAAUGCCGCGUGAGUGAAGAAGGCCUUCGGGUCGUAAAACUCUGUUAUAAGAGAAGAACAAAUUGUAGAGUAACUGCUACAGUCUUGACGGUAUCUUAUCAGAAAGCCACGGCUAACUACGUGCCAGCCGCCUCAGUAA